UAUCUGCACUAGGGGUGUUCUUAGAAGAACUGAGAUACGCUUGUUCAGCGUGAUCCCUUUGAACCUGUAAGUUAGUACUUGCGAAGGAAAGUGUUUAAUUGUUGAA
rfam:Pediococcus pentosaceus ATCC 25745, complete genome.